rnacentral:rRNA from 1 species
AUUGAACGCUGGCGGCAGGCUUAACACAUGCAAGUCGAGCGGGGGAAGGUAGCUUGCUACCUAACCUAGCGGCGGACGGGUGAGUAAUGCUUAGGAAUCUGCCUAUUAGUGGGGGACAACAUUUCGAAAGGGAUGCUAAUACCGCAUACGCCCUAAGGGGGAAAGCAGGGGAUCUUCGGACUUUGCGCUAAUAGAUGAGCCUAAGUCGGAUUAGCUAGGUGGGGGGGUAAAGGCCUACCAAGGCGACGAUGUGUAGCGGGUCUGAGAGGAUGAUCCGCCACACUGGGACUGAGACACGGCCCAGACUCCUACGGGAGGCAGCAGUGGGGAAUAUUGGACAAUGGGGGGAACCCUGACCCAGCCAUGCCGCGUGUGUGAAGAAGGCCUUUUGGUUGUAAAGCACUUUAAGCGAGGAGGAGGCUACCGAGAUUAAUACUCUUGGAUAGUGGACGUUACUCGCAGAAUAAGCACCGGCUAACUCUGUGCCAGCCGCCGCCGUAACAC